AGCAGCCGCGGUAAUUCCAGCUCCAAUAGCGUAUAUUAAAGUUGUUGCAGUUAAAAAGCUCGUAGUUGAAUUUCGGGAUUAAUAUGUUGGUCGUGCCUUGGUACGUACUGGCAUUAUUGAUUCCUACCUUCUGAAGAACCUCGAUGUCAUUAAUUUGGUGUCUUGGGGAAUCAGGACCGUUACUUUGAAAAAAUUAGAGUGUUUAAAGCAGGCUCGCGCUUGAAUACAUUAGCAUGGAAUAAUGAAAUAGGACGUUUGAUUCUAUUUUGUUGGUUUCUAGGAUCGACGUAAUGAUUAAUAGGGAUAGUUGGGGGCAUUAGUAUUCAAUUGUCAGAGGUGAAAUUCUUGGAUUUAUUGAAGACUGACUACUGCGAAAGCAUUUGCCAAGGAUGUUUUCAUUAAUCAAGAACGAAAGUUAGGGGAUCGAAGACGAUCAGAUACCGUCGUAGUCUUAACCAUAAACUAUGCCGACUAGGGAUCGGAUGAUGUUAAUUUUUUAAUGACUCAUUCGGCGCCUUACG
rnacentral:rRNA from 2 species